rnacentral:rRNA from 1 species
CAGUCGCCGCGGUAAUACGAAGGGUGCAAGCGUUAAUCGGAAUUACUGGGCGUAAAGGGCACGCAGGCGGUUAUUUAAGUGAGGUGUGAAAGCCCCGGGCUUAACCUGGGAAUUGCAUUUCAGACUGGGUAACUAGAGUACCUUAGGGAGGGGUAGAAUUCCACGUGUAGCGGUGAAAUGCGUAGAGAUGUGGAGGAAUACCGAAGGCGAAGGCAGCCCCUUGGGAAUGUACUGACGCUCAUGUGCGAAAGCGUGGGGAGCAAACAGGAUCAGAGACCCGUGUAGUCUCUGUCUCUUAUAC